ACACAUGCAAGUCGAACGGAAAGGCCCUUUCGGGGGUAGCUCGAGUGGCGAACGGGUGAGUAACACGUGGGUGAUCUGCCCUGCACUCUGGGAUAAGCCUGGGAAACUGGGUCUAAUACUGGAUAGGACCAUGGGAUGCAUGUUCUGUGGUGGAAAGCUUUUGCGGUGUGGGAUGGGCCCGCGGCCUAUCAGCUUGUUGGUGGGGUGAUGGCCUACCAAGGCGACGACGGGUAGCCGGCCUGAGAGGGUGUCCGGCCACACUGGGACUGAGAUACGGCCCAGACUCCUACGGGAGGCAGCAGUGGGGAAUAUUGCACAAUGGGCGCAAGCCUGAUGCAGCGACGCCGCGUGGGGGAUGACGGCCUUCGGGUUGUAAACCUCUUUCAGUAUCGGCGAAGCUUGCGGGUUUUCUCGCAGGUGACGG
rnacentral:rRNA from 1 species